GACGAACGCUGGCGGCGUGCUUAACACAUGCAAGUCGAACGAAGAGCGAUGGAAGCUUGCUUCUAUCAAUCUUAGUGGCGAACGGGUGAGUAACGCGUAAUCAACCUGCCCUUCAGAGGGGGACAACAGUUGGAAACGACUGCUAAUACCGCAUACGAUCCGACCUCGGCAUCGAGGAUGGAUGAAAGGUGGCCUCUAUUUAUAAGCUAUCACUGAAGGAGGGGAUUGCGUCUGAUUAGCUAGUUGGAGGGGUAACGGCCCACCAAGGCAAUGAUCAGUAGCCGGUCUGAGAGGAUGAACGGCCACAUUGGGACUGAGACACGGCCCAGACUCCUACGGGAGGCAGCAGUGGGGAAUCUUCCGCAAUGGACGAAAGUCUGACGGAGCAACGCCGCGUGAGUGAUGACGGCCUUCGGGUUGUAAAGCUCUGUUAAUCGGGACGAAGGGUCUUCUUGCGAAUAGUUAGAAGAAUUGACGGUACCGGAAUAGAAAGCCACGGCUAACUACGU
rnacentral:rRNA from 1 species